rnacentral:rRNA from 1 species
GGAGGGUGCAAGCGUUGUUCGGAUUCAUUGGGCGUAAAGGGGGUCUAGGCGGCACGGCAAGUCGGAUGUGAAAUCCCACGGCUCACCCGUGGAACUGCGUUCGAAACUGCCGUACUUGAGUAUGGGAGAGGAGAGUGGAAUUCUCAGUGUAGCGGUGGAAUGCGUAGAUAUUGAGAAGAACACCGGUGGCGAAGGCGACUCUCUGGCCCGAUACUGACGCUGAAGCCCGAAAGCCAGGGGAGCGAACGGGGGAUUAGAUACCCCGGUAGUCCUGGCCGUAAACGAUGUGCACUGGGUGUAGGAGGUAUCGACCCCCUUCUGUGCCGAAGCUAACGCAUUAAGUGCACCGCCUGGGGAUACGGUCGCAAGGCUG